AGGACGAACGCUGGCGGCGUGCCUAACACAUGCAAGUCGAGCGGGGACGAUGCGACGGAAAUGAAGUUUCGGAUGGAUUGAAGAUGUAUGUUCUAGCGGCGGACGGGUGAGUAACGCGUGAGCAACCUGUCCCUUACAGGGGAUAACACAGCGAAAGUUGUACUAAUACCGCAUAAGACCACGGAGUCACAUGGCUCAGGGGUCAAAGGAGCAAUCCGGUAAGGGGUGGGCUCGCGUCCGAUUAGAUAGUUGGUGAGGUAACGGCCCACCAAGUCGACGAUCGGUAGCCGACCUGAGAGGGUGAUCGGCCACAUUGGGACUGAGACACGGCCCAAACUCCUACGGGAGGCAGCAGUGGGGAAUAUUGGGCAAUGGGGGGAAACCCUGACCCAGCAACGCCGCGUGAGGGAAGAAGGUUUUCGGAUCGUAAACCUCUGUCCUUGGUGAAGAGGAAGAGACGGUAGCCAAGGAGGAAGCCCCGGCUAACUACGUGCCAGCCGCCGC
rnacentral:rRNA from 1 species